CCACCCUUGAAAGAAAGCGUAACAGCUCACUGGUCUAAUAGCCGUCCUGCGCCGAAGAUGUACCGGGGCUCAAGCCAUACACCGAAGCUGCGGGUGUGCCCUUCCUACGGGAAGGGUACGCAGUAGCGGAGCGUUCCGUAAGCCUGUGAAGGUAAACCGUAAGGUUUGCUGGAGGUAUCGGAAGUGAGAAUGCUGACAUGAGUAGCGAUAAAGAGUGUGAGAAACACUCUCGCCGAAAGUCCAAGGGUUCCUGCGUAAAGCUAAUCUGCGCAGGGUUAGUCGGCCCCUAAGGCGAGGGCGAAAGCCGUAGUCGAUGGGAAUCAGGUUAAUAUUCCUGAACCUGUGGGUGGUGACGAAUAGCGUAAGUUGUAUCUCCUUAUCGGAUUGGAGGUGCCGCGAAGCUGUUCCAGGAAAUAACCCCCACGUGAGACCGUACCCGAAACCGACACAGGUGGACAGGUAGAGUAUACCAAGGCGCUUGAGAGAACUAUGUUGAAGGAACUCGGCAAAAUGCCUGCGUAACUUCGGGAGAAGCAGGCCCCGUUCUUGGGCAACCAGGGGCGGGGGGCACAGACCAGGGGGUGGCGACUGUUUA
rnacentral:rRNA from 1 species